CAGGCACAGGGGGAUAUAGUUAGUUCUAUUCUUAUCCUAACUCCCGGGUGUGCCCGACUGUAAACUCCUUGAAGGCAGGGGCAGUGCCUUCUUAUGUCUCUGGCUGUGCAGGGCCUACGUGAAUCCUUACACAUAGUGGGAACAUGGUAACUUCUUGAUGUUUUGCUCUCUAACCACUUGGCAGCUUAAACAACUUGGGCCUUCACUGAAGUAUCUUUUUUGGAGGACCUACUGGCUUUUAGUGUGGGUUGUGGAGAACUGAAGAGGUUAACUUUAAACUUGGUAACAGGAUUUAGACAGUCUGGGAAUUCUUCUCCACCAUCUGGCUUCACCCUAGCCCACACAUAGGUAACUGCUGAGUUUGUUGAUGUGUCAGCUUUUCUCGGGUUGAACAGUACUGUCAGCUAGCAUUGUCUUUAUUAACUGUUCUGUGCAGAAUGAGGCUACCCUCGGCCCUUCGAAAAGUACCUUUAACCCUCCCCGUAUCUGAAAUGUAGUUUAAGCCCAUACGCAUUAUCAUUAAAAUAUUUUUUCCACCAUAAAAAGGAACUCAUUUACUCUCAGAAAAUCUAAAAUAAGCCCUGGACUUCUGAGAUGAUCAGAGCUAUGUGAGUUAUCUCUUAUGAGUUAGUAGAGGUUGUUCACAAACAUAACUGGAUAGCUGACACGUCCUGGGCAUAAGAAUCCUACCUAUAGACAACUCAUUAUGCUCCAGAAAAUGUAAAAGCAUGUUGUUCUACAACCAAGUCAAAGGGUAAUAAAACUCUUCAAAAACAUCAUAGUAAAAAUUCUCACAUCAUAAUCUGUGCCACCUGAACCAUCACUUCAACAUUACGACUAUUUGGAUGGUGUGCUAGCAAAAGGGAAAGCAAUGCAAUAGCAACGUGGUGUGGCAAUCUCUCAAGGUUCUGACCUGAAGUCUCCCUGAAAUGUGCUGACUGAUUAGCUAAUUAGUGACAACACCCCAUCCAUCCCAAUGCCAGGGACUGAAAGUUCAACACAUCUGAAUUCCUCCUGGAGAGGACCCAGAAUUUUCAAAAAGUGCACUCCAUGCACCAAAACUCUUGUUUCCAAAUGGUUAUAAAACGUGUCCAAUUCACUUUAUCAGGAUAUAAAUCAUUAGUUGGAAUUUUUUUCCCCUCCAUAAAAUAUUGAAAACUCGUACC